GAACUGCGAUAAGUAAUGUGAAUUGCAAAAUUCAGUGAAUCAUCGAGUCUUUGAACGCACAUUGCGCCCCCUGGCAUUCCGGGGGGCAUGCCUGUCCGAGCGUCAUUGCUGCCCUUCAAGCCCGGCUUGUGUGUUGGGUCGUCGUCCCCUCCGGGGGACGGGCCCGAAAGGCAGCGGCGGCACCGCGUCCGGUCCUCGAGCGUAUGGGGCUUUGUCACCCGCUCGAUAAGGACCGGCCGGGCGCCAGCCGGCGUCUCCAACCUUUUUUUCUCAGGUUGACCUCGGAUCAGGUAGGGAUACCCGCUGAACUUAAGC
rnacentral:misc_RNA from 1 species